rnacentral:rRNA from 1 species
UACAGAGGUCCCGAGCGUUGUUCGGAUUCAUUGGGCGUAAAGGGUGCGUAGGCGGGGGGGCAAGUCUGAUGUGAAAUCCCGGGGCUCAACCCCGGAACUGCAUUGGAUACUGCCUUGCUAGAGUACUGGAGAGGGAACUGGAAUUUACGGUGUAGCAGUGAAAUGCGUAGAGAUCGUAAGGAAGGCCAGUGGCGAAGGCGAGUUCCUGGACAGUGACUGACGCUGAGGCACGAAGGCCAGGGGAGCAAACGGG